GACGAACGCUGGCGGCGUGCUUAACACAUGCAAGUCGAACGGAAAGGCCCUGCUUUUGUGGGGUGCUCGAGUGGCGAACGGGUGAGUAACACGUGAGUAACCUGCCCUUGACUUUGGGAUAACUUCAGGAAACUGGGGCUAAUACCGGAUAGGAGCUCCUGCUGCAUGGUGGGGGUCGGAAAGUUUCGGCGGUUGGGGAUGGACUCGCGGCUUAUCAGCUUGUUGGUGGGGUAGUGGCUUACCAAGGCUUUGACGGGUAGCCGGCCUGAGAGGGUGACCGGCCACAUUGGGACUGAGAUACGGCCCAGACUCCUACGGGAGGCAGCAGUGGGGAAUAUUGCACAAUGGGCGGAAGCCUUAUGCAGCAACGCCGCGUGCGGGAUGACGGCCUUCGGGUUGUAAACCGCUUUCGCCUGUGACGAAGCGUGAGUGACGGUAAUGGGUAAAGAAGCACCGGCUAACUACGUG
rnacentral:rRNA from 1 species